rnacentral:rRNA from 1 species
CUAGGUGCACCUGCGGAGGGACAUUA